rnacentral:rRNA from 1 species
CCUACGGGAGGCAGCAGUGAGGAAUAUUGGUCAAUGGCCGGAAGGCUGAACCAGCCAUGCCGCGUGAAGGUCAGUGCCCUAUGGGCGUUAAACUUCUUUUGUGCGGGAGCAAUAAUGGUCACGUGUGGCCAGACGAGAGUACCGUACGAAUAAGCAUCGGCUAACUCCGUGCCAGCAGCCGCGGUAAUAUGGGGGAUGCAAGCGUUAUCCGGAUUUAUUGGGUUUAAAGGGUGCGUAGGCUGUGAGGUAAGUCAGCGGUGAAAUGCCCCCGCUCAACGGGGUGAAGUGCCAUUGAUACUGCCUGGCUGGAAUGCGGAUGCCGUGGGAGGAAUGUGUGGUGUAGCGGUGAAAUGCAUAGAUAUCACACAGAACACCGAUUGCGAAGGCAUCUCACGAAUCCGCGAUUGACGCUGAUGCACGAAAGCGUGGGUAUCAAACAGGAUUAGAUACCCGGGUAGUC